GACGAACGCUGGCGGCGCGCUUAACACAUGCAAGUCGAGCGAUGAAAUCUUGACAGAACCCUUCGGGGUGAAGAUAAGAUGGAUUAGCGGCGGACGGGUGAGUAACACGUGAGUAACCUGCCUUAGACAUUGGGAUAGCCUCGGGAAACCGGGAUUAAUACCAAAUGAAAUCACAUAUGCACAUGCAUAAAUGAUCAAAGCUCCGGCGGUCUAAGAUGGACUCGCGUCCCAUUAGCUAGCUGGUGAGGUAACGGCCCACCAAGGCGACGAUGGGUAGCCGGCCUGAGAGGGUGAACGGCCACAUUGGAACUGAGAAACGGUCCAAACUCCUACGGGAGGCAGCAGUGGGGAAUAUUGCACAAUGGAGGGAACUCUGAUGCAGCGACGCCGCGUGAACGAAGAAGGCUUUCGAGUCGUAAAGUUCUUUUAUAUGGGAAGAUAAUGACGGUACCAUAAGAAAAAGCCCCGGCUAACUACGUGCCAGCAGCCGCGGUAAUACGUAGGGGGCUAGCGUUGUCCGGAAUCACUGGGCGUAAAGGGUUCGCAGGCGGAAAUGCAAGUCAGGUGUAAAAGGCAGUAGCUUAACUACUGUAAGCAUUUGAAACUGCAUAUCUUGAGAAGAGUAGAGGUAAGUGGAAUUUUUAGUGUAGCGGUGAAAUGCGUAGAUAUUAAAAAGAAUACCGGUGGCGAAGGCGACUUACUGGGCUCAUUCUGACGCUGAGGAACGAAAGCGUGGGUAGCAAACAGG
rnacentral:rRNA from 1 species